AGCGUGCGCAGGCGGUUAUGCAAGACAGAUGUGAAAUCCCCGGGCUUAACCUGGGAACUGCAUUUGUGACUGCAUAGCUAGAGUACGGUAGAGGGGGAUGGAAUUCCGCGUGUAGCAGUGAAAUGCGUAGAUAUGCGGAGGAACACCGAUGGCGAAGGCAAUCCCCUGGACCUGUACUGACGCUCAUGCACGAAAGCGUGGGGAGCAAACAGGAUUAGAUACCCUGGUAGUCCACGCCCUAAACGAUGUCAACUGGUUGUUGGGUCUCUUCUGACUCAGUAACGAAGCUAACGCGUGAAGUUGACCGCCUGGGGAGUACGGCCGCAAGGUUGAGACUCAAAGGAAUUGACGGGGACCCGCACAAGCGGUGGAUGAUGUGGUUUAAUUCGACGCAACGCGAAAAACCUUACCUACCCUUGACAUGUCUGGAAUCCCGCAGAGAUGUGGGAGUGCUCGAAAGAGAACCAGAACACAGGCGCUGCAUGGCCGUCGUCAGCUCGUGUCGUGAGAUGUUGGGUUAAGUCCCGCAACGAGCGCAACCCUUGUCAUUAGUUGCUACGAAAGGGCACUCUAAUGAGACUGCCGGUGACAAACCGGAGGAAGGUGGGGAUGACGUCAGGUCAUCAUGGCCCUUAUGGGUAGGGCUACACACGUCAUACAAUGGCCGGUACAGAGGGCUGCCAACCCGCGAGGGGGAGCCAAUCCCAGAAAACCGGUCGUAGUCCGGAUCGCAGUCUGCAACUCGACUGCGUGAAGUCGGAAUCGCUAGUAAUCGCGGAUCAGCUUGCCGCGGUGAAUACGUUCCCGGGUCUUGUACACACCGCCCGU
rnacentral:rRNA from 1 species